GAUGAACGCUGGCGGCGUGCCUAAUACAUGCAAGUCGAGCGAACAGACGAGGAGCUUGCUCCUUCGACGUUAGCGGCGGACGGGUGAGUAACACGUAGGUAACCUACCUAUAAGACUGGGAUAACUUCGGGAAACCGGAGCUAAUACCGGAUAAUAUUUCGAACCGCAUGGUUCGAUAGUGAAAGAUGGCUUUGCUAUCACUUAUAGAUGGACCUGCGCCGUAUUAGCUAGUUGGUAAGGUAACGGCUUACCAAGGCAACGAUACGUAGCCGACCUGAGAGGGUGAUCGGCCACACUGGAACUGAGACACGGUCCAGACUCCUACGGGAGGCAGCAGUAGGGAAUAUUCCGCAAUGGGCGAAAGCCUGACGGAGCAACGCCGCGUGAGUGAUGAAGGUCUUCGGAUCGUAAAACUCUGUUAUUAGGGAAGAACAAACGUGUAAGUAACUGUGCACGUCUUGACGGUACCUAAUCAGAAAGCCACGGCUAACUACGUG
rnacentral:rRNA from 1 species